CUCAAGGAGAGUUCAAUCCUGGCUCAGAAUAAAUGCUGGCAGCAUGUUUAACAUAUGUAAGUCGGACGGGAAACACGGUAAAUGGUGUUUCCAGUGGAGGACGGGUAAGUAAUGCGUAAAAACCUUCCCUUGGGAGAGGAACAACAGUUGGAAACGACUGGUAAUACCUCGUAGACUGAGGAGCAAAAAGAGGAAUCCACCCGAUGAGGGGUUCGUGUCAGAUUAGCUAGUUGGUGAGGAAAUAUCUUACCAAGGAGAUGAUCAGUAGCUGGUCCAAGAGGUUGAUCAGCCACACAAGGACUGAGACACGGCCUAGACUCCAACGGGAGGUGGCAGUGGGGAAUUUUCUGCAAUAGACAAAAGCCUGACGUAGUAAUGUCGCAUGGAGGUAAAAGUCCUAUGGGUCGUGAACUUCUUUUGCAGGAGAAGAAGUAAUCACAUUAUCUGGGGAAUAAAAAUCGGCUAACCCUAUGCCAGCAGCUGCGGUAAUACAGAGGAUGCAAGCGUUAUCAGGAAUGAUUGGGCGUAAAGUGUCUAUAGGUGGCUUUUUAAGUUCACUAUCAGAUCCCAGGGCUAAACCCUAGACAGGUGGUAGAAACUACCAAGUUGGAGUACGGUAGGGGCAUAGGGAAUUUUUGGUGGAGAAGUGAAAUGCGUAGAGCUUUAAAAGAACACCAACAGCUAAAGCACUCUGCUGGGCUGACAUUGACACUGAGAUACAAAAGCUAGGGGAGCGAAUGGGAUUAAAUACCCUAAUAAUCCUAGCUAUAAAUGAUGGAUACUAGGUGUUGUGUGUAUUGACCCAUGAAAUUCUACAGAUAAUGCAUUAAGUAUCUCUCCUGGGCAGUACAUUUGCAAGAAUGAAACUCAAAGAAAUUGACGGAGGCCUACACAAGUGGUGGAUCAUGUGGUUUAAUUCUAUGCAAAGCGAAGAACCUUACCCGAGCUUGGCAUACUGCAAAUCCUCUUGAAAGAGAAGAGUGCCUUUGGGAAGACGGACACAGGUGAUGCAUGGCUAUCAUCAGAUUGUAUCAUAAGGUGUUGGGUUAAGUCUCACAACGAGCAUAACCCUCGUGUUUAGUUUCCAUUAUUGAGUUUAGAACCCUGAACAGACUGCUAAUGAUAAGCAAGGGGAAGGUGAGGAUGACGUCAAGUCAUCAUUCCCCUUAUGCCCAAGGUGAUACACAUGCUAUAAUGGCUGGGACAAAGGGUCACGAUCCCACAAGGGUGAGCUAACCCAAAAAACCCAUCCUCAGUUCGGAUUGCAGGCUGCAACUUGCCUGCAUGAAGCCAAAAUCACUAGUAAUCAUUGGUCAGUUAUACAACGGUGAAUUCAUUCUCGAGAUUUAUACACACUGCCCAUCAUACUAUAGGAGCUGGCCAUACCCAAAGUUGUUACCUUAACCGCAAGGAGGGGGAUGGCGAAGGUAGGGCUAGUGACUGGAGUAAAGUCGUAACAAGGUAGCCGUACUGGAAGGUGCGGCUAGAUCACCUUGUUU
rfam:Capsicum annuum cultivar Zunla-1 chromosome 8, whole genome shotgun sequence